CCCCUUUAUUCUUUUCUUUUUCAUUUGCAGAUAGGGGGGAGAGAGAGCGUACGAGAAAAUAAAAGAGAGAAUUCUAGAAAGAAUGAGAAAAAGAAGGAUCCAGGGUUUGUUAUGGUUCAAUCAACCAGAUCUCUACAAACACACAUACGGAAUCAACCAGAUCUCGAAAACUACACAUACGGAACCCUAGAUUUUCUUGAUCUGGAACCCUAGCCUCCCUCCUCCACAUCUCCAAUACGCUAUCUUCCCUUACACGCACAAAGAUGAUGUUGGACGACAAAGAACUGGAGAUGAAGGAAGAACGACUAUGAAAUCGAAAACACUCAGGGUUAAACACCGAUUUGAAGAAACUUUAACAGAUUUGCAGGAACCUCCACAUCUCCAAUACGCUAUCUUCCCUUAAUUUAGAGAGAGAGAGAGAGAUAGCACGUACCUGGUCGACCUAAUCUCUGAUCUCCUGUGCUGAUGCUAAAAUAACGUUUAGGGUUCUGCAGAUCUUGAAUAUACCAGCUGCCUUGAAGUUUGAAUCCGCUUUUAGGGCUGGGGCGAGCCAGGGAGGUUACGGGACCGAGGAAGAUGACAAAAAUUUGUAGAUCUGAGUAUUCUAGCAACAUUCAGGAGUUUUACAUUCAGAUAUGUGUUUGUUUCUUCUUCAGAUCUGAGUUUUACAUUCAGAUCUGUUAGGUUUGUUUACUUAUUAUGAUUUUUAGUUUUCAAUUUGGAUUCAUUUGUUGAAAUAAUGGUUUAAAUAAGAUAAAUUGAUGUUACAACAUUGAUUUUCUGAAAUUUUGAUCGAACAAGAAGUAAUUUAUUAACUGUCGACCUUAAUUUGUUGGAUAUGGAGUUGUUCUUUAGUGUUUUUUUUCUUUUGGUUUGAUUUUGGAGUAAACCCUAGCUGUUAAGUGUGUUUUGUAGCAACUUUUAACCCUACCACACAUCGAUUAGCCUUUGCAACCAUCUUCCCUGUUCUUCGUCAUCACCGAAUGGCACCCAGGUACAUCUUCUCUCUGUAUAAUGCUCUUGAAUCAUUUUUGUGUUAUUAGUUUAGUUUUCUAUGUUUAAAAGGGUUUUACUGCUACCUAGCAACCUGAAGUUGCAGACCUAGGGUUUUGAAUACCCAAUUUCAGGCAAAAGAAGAUUUAUAGAAGAAGUUGAGAGCGUUGAUCUUUGUGUCAGUUGAGUACAGAGCAGGAGAUCGACAUUGUUUUGAGUACUCCGGCCGAAAAUAUUCCAAGGAGGAUCUGUGAUUCCAUGUUGAAGUUUUUGGAAAUUGGGAAGACCAUGCUGGGAUUUCAGAAUUCUUCAGAUUCCUGGUGAUUUCUUGUGCAUAUUCAAGAGUUUACCCCCUCAUAUAUCCAAGGAUUUCAACCUGGUGAAGCUUUUGUGGUCCGAAAUGUGGCUAACCUUGUUCCACCACUUCAGGUAUAGAAGUAGAUUGACACCAAGUUUUUCAUUUUCAUAAUUUUUCCUCUUGUUCUUUUUAAAUUUUUCAUUGGGUGACAUACAUUUUCAGCAGCCUAAUUUCCUUUGAACUGGGUGUUUAUUGAUCUAGGGUUUGGUUUAUGUGGUGGAAAGUUGUUUGUUUGUUGUGGUUUAUGUUUGUAGAAUAGAUUUUGGUUAGGGUUUGAGUUGUUAAUGAUUGUAUUUGAUUUGGGUUGUUUUUUGAUUUGGGUUGUUUUUUGUUAAUGUUGUUUGAGGUGACAAUUUUGACCAUUUACUUAUGAGGUUGUUUUUAUUAAAAAAAAGCGUGCUAAGACUUAAAAAAGUAUUAUGAAAUUUAGCCAUUUAACCUCAAUCAAAGUAUGAUAAUUGACAGGAUGUAUGUGUUGAUUUGCCUAAUUUAUCAUUGGAAUGGACUCUUGAAAGGCUUGAGCCUGCUGGACUUUGUAAGAUGGCUUGUGUUUGCACUUAUUAAGAGACAUGUGUUUAAGUGAUUAUCUGUGGAAAGUCAUUACCUUUGUAUAUUAAUCUUGUUGAAUGAAUAUAAUAUGUUUAAUUUAUAAUUUGUCCAAACAUGUAUUAACAUACUAUAUGAGCAUUGGCAAGAGCUUGAAGUUGCCAUCGUAAUACCUUUAGACAAUUAACAUUGGAGUGGACAAAUGAGAUACAGAUACUUAGCUACUUGCAUCCAAUUUUAUUUGCAGUCCUCUACAAAGUUCUUCCUAUUUUUACAUCCUAAUGCUCCACUCUUUAUGAUUCAAGAGUUCAUGAUUUUAAACCAACACUUUCACUUUGUGCCGAUCAAUCAACAACGACCCCAUAUUAUUCCAGCUGAUUGUUAUAUGCUCUUUUAGUUUUUUUAGAAAGGAUGUAAAGGGACUUGGCGACACUUUGGCAGGGGCUUACCCAGGUCGCUUCGAUUUUCAUUUGAAAGAAAGACAAUCUUGACAAUCUGCCAUUGUAGCAGCUGCUUUUUGUUUAGCACUCAAGUAUGUGAUUGGUUCCAUCAUAGCUCCGAAGAAGACAAAGUUGCCAUUGGAGAAAUUUCCAGACGAUUGGACUAGAGAGCAAGUUGCUGAGAAAUUUCCGCAACGCCGCAGCCAGCGCAACCCCAGCGAACGCAGCCGCAUCGACGCAGUGAGCGCUGCCGCAGCGAGCACAACCCUAGCCAGCCCGGCGCAACGCCGCAGCGAGCACAGCCAUAACGCCGCAGCCCGCACAACUGUUGCGAACGCAACCAGCCUGCGUAUUACGUAUAUGUGCAAUGACUGCAUAACCACUUUCUGUUUGUCUGGCCCAUUAAAGUUUACAACUUUUGUUGUCAUUUUUGUGAAGUUGAAUAUGAUUCUGUGUACAUUUUUAUAUCAUAGUAUAGAUAAAAUUAACUACAA